UCGUUACCACAUUUAUCGAUUAUGCACGUUGAUUGCGUGAUUCAAUAUCAAGUGUACCUUCCAAGACGAUCUACGUCCUAGUGUCGUGACUGACGGUGAGUGCGGACGUACAGCAGCGUUUUGACAAGACUGUCGCCGAGUGUACCGUACAUUGUGGACUGUAAAGCGGAAGAGUGCGCAGUGGAUGCCCGACUUUGGAACCGAGUGUGAUCGUCUGGGCAGCGUGUUCACUCAGCGGGGAUGAUGGCAAGAGGAUGGCAGAUAGGCAGACGACAGCUUACAGAAGAAGAUGGGAGUGUUCUACCUGCGAGCCUUGUCAAGUCUAUAUUGU
rnacentral:lncRNA from 1 species